rnacentral:rRNA from 1 species
GUGGGGAAUAUUGCGCAAUGGGCGAAAGCCUGACGCAGCGACGCCGCGUGAGGGAUGAAGGCCUUCGGGUUGUAAACCUCUUUCAGCAGGGACGAAGCGAAAGUGACUGUACCUGCAGAAGAAGCACCGGCUAACUACGUGCCAGCAGCCGCGGUAAUACGUAGGGUGCGAGCGUUGUCCGGAUUUAUUGGGCGUAAAGAGCUCGUAGGCGGCUCGUCACGUCGGAUGUGAAAACUCGGGGCUUAACUCCGAGCCUGCAUUCGAUACGGGCGAGCUAGAAUUCGGUAGGGGAGACUGGAAUUCCUGGUGUAGCGGUGAAAUGCGCAGAUAUCAGGAGGAACACCGAUGGCGAAGGCAGGUCUCUGGGCCGAUAUUGACGCUGAGGAGCGAAAGCGUGGGGAGCGAACAGGAUUAGAAACCCGAGUAGUCC